rnacentral:rRNA from 1 species
CAGCAGCCACGGUAAUACAGAGGGUGCGAGCGUUAAUCGGAUUUACUGGGCGUAAAGCGUGCGUAGGCGGCUUCUUAAGUCGGAUGUGAAAUCCCUGAGCUUAACUUAGGAAUUGCAUUCGAUACUGGGAAGCUAGAGUAUGGGAGAGGAUGGUAGAAUUCCAGGUGUAGCGGUGAAAUGCGUAGAGAUCUGGAGGAAUACCGAUGGCGAAGGCAGCCAUCUGGCCUAAUACUGACGCUGAGGUACGAAAGCAUGGGGAGCAAACAGGAUUAGAUACCCGCGUAGUCCCUGUCUCUUAUAC